CCAUGGGUGUGGCAUGCCCAUGCUUAUUCUCCUCUUAUUUUAAAAAUAAUGACUACGAAACGUACAUUUUGUGCAGUUAAAAAUUACGUAAUCUGAGUUUAACGGCAAUGUAAAGCCCAGUGCUGGUAAACUUCCCAUUUAAAUUACAUACGUACGUUUUGU